GGUCAUGAGUGCCAGCGUCAAGCCCCGGCUCGCUGGUCGGCAACCCUCCUCCGCGGUGGGGUGCUCCGGGUGACGACCUGGCCGACGCCAGACGACGCCGGCAAGCGCGGACC
rnacentral:ncRNA from 1 species